rnacentral:rRNA from 1 species
CCCUUAGAUGUUCUGGGCCGCACGCGCGCUACACUGAUGCAUUCAACGAGCACCCGCUGGGCCGAGAGGUCCGGCUAAUCUUUGAACGUGCAUCGUGCUGGGGAUAGAUGAUUGCAAUUAUUCAUCUUCAACGAGGAAUUCCUAGUAAACGCAAGUCAUCAGCUUGCAUUGAUUACGUCCCUGCCCUUUGUACACACCACCCGUCGCACCUACCGAUUGAAUGGUCCGGUGAAAUUCUCGGACGCGGACUUGCGAUGUUAAUUCGGAGCUUGACUGUGAAAGUUAAUUAAACCUUACCAUUUAGAGGAAGGUGAAGUCGUAACA